rnacentral:rRNA from 1 species
UACAGAGGGUGCGAGCGUUGUUCGGAAUUACUGGGCGUAAAGCGCGCGCAGGCGGCCUUUUAAGUCUGACGGUGAAAUGCCGGGGCUCAACCCCGUGCCCGCCGCGGAUACUGGGAGGCUGGAGACAUGUAGAGGCAAGCGGAAUUCCGGGUGUAGCGGUGGAAUGCGUAGAGAUCCGGAAGAACACCGGAGGCGAAGGCGGCUGCUGGGCAUUGUCUGACGCUGAGGCGCGAAAGCGUGGGGAGCGAACAGG